AACGGUAUCUUUUACCCCUUAGUUUGAUUGCUUAAUUCAAUGUGUGCGCUGUUGUCAAAUCUCUACCAAGACCUCAGGUAGCAAGUUAAUUUCAGUCACUCCGGUAUCGUAAAGACAUACCAGGUAACUUGCCGCUUCUUGUUUUUCCUUUGUUCAAUGAAACUAAUGCUAUUUUGUGUUGUGGAGGCCGACAUUGUUACUCGGGGAGUUACCUGUUUGUUCCUUCAAACAUGUGCUCUUACGUGAACAUGGAUAUGGUGGUGUUUACAAUCAACACGCAUCUAUCAGCGAUGUCGUCUUAAGUGUGGACUCCACUUCACUAAGUAUGCAAUUACACCUUUCCCCUGGCUAGUGGUAGACUGGUAGUGUGGCACUGGUGUUUGCUUCACAGGUCUAUUUCAUUGUUUGUGCUUCUGAGCAGUUGUGGACAUGCCAAAAACAAUGAACUGAACUUGCGAAAACACACAUCUCAUUCAGCUCCAGCACGGAAACAUACUAUUGUUUCUCCUCUCUAGAAGAUUAUAUCAAGAUAGAUGCACCACACGUCAUUGCUUAACACUGACAGAUAUUACUUGUUAUCAGGUAUUGCUCGGGGUUGCGGAUGGCAGCACCUGGGAGCCUAUGUAAACCUCGGUUCAUUCUACCUGGUUGGCAUUCCGGUAGCCCUACUUCUUGGCUUUGGUUUCAAGAUGGAAGGCAAAGGGCUUUGGCUGGGCAUCGCCUGUGGUUCCGUAUUACAAUUCUUGCUUCUCGCCGUCAUUGCAUUCUUCAGCAACUG
rnacentral:lncRNA from 1 species